rnacentral:lncRNA from 1 species
GCUAAUAGAAAAUGAAUUCGAACACAAAUUUAAUAGUAAAUCUUACAUAACAAAGGAAUGUACCAAAACCAAUACAGGAAACCGAGUAAAGAGGUAGUAUUAAAGAAGAAAAAUAAGCUAAAAUCUGUUCAAAGCACUAUUAGUGAAAACGUGUCAAACUUGAUUACAGUUCCUGUGAAAGCUGCGAAAAGAUCUGCUAAUCCACGAGAAUCAACAAGCAAGCAGUUUAAUAUAUAACAGCACGAUACAUAUUUAUGUAUUACUGUGAAAAGAUCAAAUAUAAAUCCUAUUAAACCAUGAUAAAUUUAAGGUUUGUAAGCCACAAACCCUAAAAAUAACAAACCCUAAAACAAGAACAGGUUUCCAAAAGGAAAGAGAUCUUUUCAUAUUAUUACAAAUAGAAGACACAGAUCCAUAACGACAUCAUCCAAACGAAGUAGAAAUCCCACACUAAGCAAGAUACAAACCAGAAAUAGAGAGAUCUUUGUUUCUUAAACUGAGACAAAUAAACAAACACACACACUUCUUUGUCUACAUAAUUAAUUCGCGUUUUUUUUCUUAUAUUAUAUCUGACCAACAAGAUCUAUUAAAUAUUAAUUAUAAUUACCUUCGAGCACUGAAAAAAAGGUAGACUCCAAUUUAGGCAAGCAAGGUAGAAAUAAGAAAUUCAUUAAUUUGCUAGAUCUAGCAAACAAACCGGACCAUGAUGCUUGAUUCCCCAUAAACACUUAGAAUUUCGUGAGUGAAAGAAAGCCCUUUUUUUUCACUUCAAACCCUGAGUUUUUCCUGCGUCUUUUUCUUCAUCAUCAUCGGCAGCAGCAUAACCCUUCUUUUUCUUGUUCUUGUUCUUGUUCUUGUUCUUUGUCUUUAAGGAUGAUAAUGAUGAUUGUGCUGACUUUAGUUUGUGGACAUAAUGAUGGCUCGGAAAAAUGUGAGGAACAGGCGAGAACAUGGUGACUAUGAUGGUUGCUUUUGAGUUGUGGCGUUGAAUGUGGGAGAGAAAGUAAGAUAGUAGGCUCUUUCAAUGCUUUUUGUGCAGUUUCUUUGUUCAGAAAAUUUGCUGUGUUUUCUGAUGAGAGACAGACACAUUGUGGCAACAAUUA